rnacentral:rRNA from 1 species
UGCGUAGGCGGCGCGGUAAGUCGGGUGUGAAAUCUCGGAGCUUAACUCCGAAACUGCAUUCGAUACUGCCGUGCUUGAGGACUGGAGAGGAGACUGGAAUUUACGGUGUAGCGGUGAAAUGCGUAGAUAUCGUAAGGGAGACCAGUGGCGAAGGCGGGUCUCUGGACAGUUCCUGACGCUGAGGCACGAAGGUCAGGGAGGCAAAACG